rnacentral:rRNA from 1 species
CUGAAACCGUGUACGUACAAGCAGUGGGAGCACGCUUAGGCGUGUGACUGCGUACCUUUUGUAUAAUGGGUCAGCGACUUAUAUUCUGUAGCAAGGUUAACCGAAUAGGGGAGCCGAAGGGAAACCGAGUCUUAACUGGGCGUUAAGUUGCAGGGUAUAGACCCGAAACCCGGUGAUCUAGCCAUGGGCAGGUUGAAGGUUGGGUAACACUAACUGGAGGACCGAACCGACUAAUGUUGAAAAAUUAGCGGAUGACUUGUGGCUGGGGGUGAAAGGCCAAUCAAACCGGGAGAUAGCUGGUUCUCCCCGAAAGCU